rnacentral:rRNA from 1 species
GUCUACGGCCAUACCCUGAACGCGCCCGAUCUCGUCUGAUCUCGGAAGCUAAGCAGGGUCGGGCCGGUUAGUACUUGGAUGGGAGACCGCCUGGAAUACCGGGUGCUGUAGGCU